rnacentral:lncRNA from 1 species
GAUGCUGAGGCCAGAGCAAGCACUGAGGGCUAUACCUCUUCAGUUUUACCCAGAAGACAGGAACUGUCAAUAUUCCCAAGAGAAAAGCACAUGUUAGAAGGAUCCUCUGGCAUCUGUGUGGUGUAUGGAUGAAGAAGGUUGCCUAUGGGGGCUGGAAGUACAUUUAGAAAGUUGCUUCAGAGCUCACACCUGUAAUCUCAGCACUUUGGGAGGCCGAGGUGGACAGAUCACUUGAGAAGCUCUUAAAAAUCCAGACAUCCAACAAGAGACCAAUAGGACACGCUGAUGUUUUAUGAAUGGGGCCAGGACCAGCCUGAGUGUGGAGCCUCAUGGGCUGAGUUUCCCCUGGAUUCAGAGCCCUGAGGUUGAGUUAUCUACUGGUCAGCUGGAUCAGUUCAGCCGCUGUAAAGAGACAGUGCCCGGCCACCCAUACAGCAUUCCUUUGUGGCAGACAAGGGACUGGUGAAAUGCAACAUAGAUGGUCUAAGGACCCUGUGCAAUGGAAACUCCAAUUGAAAUUGUACAUAACCACUAACAUUCUACCUAUUCAAGGGGGCUGAAGAUGGAGUGUAAGAAAAAGCUCCAAAGCCAGAGCGCUGUUGCAGCCUCGGCCUCAUUUUCCAACAGGUACACUGGAGUUAUAAAUACAUGCACGGGCCACAGGGAUGGUGCAGG